GAUGAAGAACGUAGCGAAAUGCGAUACUUGGUGUGAAUUGCAGAAUCCCGUGAACCAUCGAGUCUUUGAACGCAAGUUGCGCCCGAAGCCAUUAGGCCGAGGGCACGCCUGCCUGGGCGCCACACGUCGUUGCCCCCCCAUCUACUCCUUCGGGAUUGCGGGGGGCGGAUGAUGGCCUCCCGUGCGCCUCGUCGCGCGGUUGGCAUAAAUGCCAAGUCCUCGGCGACGCACGCCACGACAAUCGGUGGUUGCGAAACCUCGGUUGCCCGUCGUGUGCGGUCGUCGCGCAUCGAGGGCUCGAAAAAAUUGCCGGGCUCCGGCUCGGCUUUCAACGCGACCCCAGGUCAGGCGGGGUUACCCGCUGAAUUUAAGCAUAUCAAUAAGCGGAGGA
rnacentral:misc_RNA from 1 species